rnacentral:rRNA from 1 species
UACGGGGAGAGCAAGCGUUGUUCGGAUUACUGGGCGUAAAGGGCGCGUAGGCGGUCGUGACAAGUCACUUGUGAAAUCUCCGGGCUUAACUCGGAACGGUCAAGUGAUACUGUCGGACUAGAGUACAGAAGGGGCAACUGGAAUUCUCGGUGUAGCGGUGAAAUGCGUAGAUAUCGAGAGGAACACCGUGCGGCGAAGGCGGGUUGCUGGGCUGAUACUGA